UACGGGGGGGGCAAGCGUUGUUCGGAAUUACUGGGCGUAAAGGGCUCGUAGGCGGCCAACUAAGUCAGACGUGAAAUCCCUCGGCUUAACCGGGGAACUGCAUCUGAUACUGGAUGGCUUGAGUUCGGGAGAGGGAUGCGGAAUUCCAGGUGUAGCGGUGAAAUGCGUAGAUACCAGGAGGAACACCGGUGGCGAAGGCGGGUCUCUGGGCCGAUACUGACGCUGAGGAGCGAAAGCGUGGGGAGCGAACAGG
rnacentral:rRNA from 1 species